AUUGAACGCUGGCGGCAGGCCUAACACAUGCAAGUCGAGCGGAGAGGCGGACGGGUGAGUAAUACCUAGGAAUCUGCCUGGUAGUGGGGGAUAACGUUCGGAAACGGACGCUAAUACCGCAUACUAUCAAAUGAGCCUAGGUCGGAUUAGCGAGUUGGGGAGGUAAUGGCUCACCAAGGCUACGAUCCGUAACUGGUCUGAGAGGAUGAGCAGGCAACCUGGAACAGAGACACGGUCCAGACUCCUACGCGAGGAAGCAGUGGGGAAUAUUGGACAAGGGGGGAAAGCCUGAUCCAGCCAUGCCGCGUGUGUGAAGAAGGUCUUCGGAUUGUAAAGCACUUUAAGUUGGGAGGCGUUACCGACAGAAUAAGCACCGGCUAACUCUGUGCCAGCAGCCGCGGUAAUUC
rnacentral:rRNA from 1 species